UCGGGCGUCUUGGGAGCAGCCUGCGUCCGAUUAGCUUGUUGGUGGGGUAAUGGCCUACCAAGGCGACGAUCGGUAGCUGGUCUGAGAGGACGAUCAGCCACACUGGGACUGAGACACGGCCCAGACUCCUACGGGAGGCAGCAGUGGGGAAUAUUGGGCAAUGGGCGCAAGCCUGACCCAGCAAUGCCGCGUGGGUGAAGAAGGUCUUCGGAUUGUAAAGCCCUUUCGACGGGGACGAUGAUGACGGUACCCGUAGAAGAAGCCCCGGCUAACUUCGUGCCAGCAGCCGCGGUAAUACGAAGGGGGCUAGCGUUGCUCGGAAUUACUGGGCGUAAAGGGCGCGUAGGCGGUUUGGUCAGUCAGGCGUGAAAUUCCUGGGCUCAACCUGGGGGCUGCGCUUGAUACGGCCAGACUUGAGGACGGAAGAGGCUCGCGGAAUUCCCAGUGUAGAGGUGAAAUUCGUAGAUAUU
rnacentral:rRNA from 1 species